AUGCCUAUCCCAAAACCAAUGGUUGGAGUUAACCUGUCCAAUUAUAGCCCACCAUCAGUCAGAGUAACCAAAACUAUUCUUAAACAAGAUAUUGGACAACCUUUUUUCUACUAUGAAAAUUUGGCCCAAGCUCCCUAACGUGUAUGGACGACCAUAUAAAGAUUCCUAUAUGAAAUUCAACCCGAGUGUGUAUGGAUUCUAAGCAUUUGUGUGCAAUAG
rnacentral:rRNA from 1 species